rnacentral:rRNA from 1 species
UACGUAGGGAGCAAGCGUUGUCCGGAUUCACUGGGUGUGAAGGGUGCGCAGGCGGGAAAGUAAGUCAGAGGUGAAAUCUCACAGCUUAACUGUGAAACUGCCUUUGAUACUGCUUUUCUUGAGUUCGGGAGAGGUUGAUGGAAUUCCAGGUGUAGCGGUGAAAUGCGUAGAUAUCUGGAAGAACACCAGUGGCGAAGGCGGUCAACUGGCCCGUAACUGACGCUCAGGCACGAAAGCGUGGGUAGCGAACAGG